AUACGGAGGGUGCAAGCGUUACUCGGAAUCACUGGGCGUAAAGCGCGCGCAGGCGGUCUUUUAAGUUGGAUGUGAAAGCCUACGGCUCAACCGUAGAACUGCAUCCAAAACUAUUAGACUAGAGUGUGGGAGAGGAAGAUGGAAUUAGUUGUGUUGGGGUAAAAUCCGUAGAGAUAACUAGGAAUACCAAAAGCGAAGGCAAUCUUCUGGAACACUACUGACGCUGAGGCGCGAAAGCGUGGGGAGCAAACAGGAUUAGAAACCCUAGUAGUCC
rnacentral:rRNA from 1 species